rnacentral:tRNA from 1 species
GUUUUCGUAGUGUAGUGGUUAUCACGUGCGCCUCACACGCGCAAGGUCCCCGGUUCGAACCCGGGCGGAAACU